CCUAGAUUGAUUUUAUUUUCUUUUAAUUUCUUUUUUUAAAGGAAAACCAGAUGAAGAUUAAAUCCCUGGAAAGAAAAUGUCAGCAGUCCCUAGAUGUAACCCACUGACCCAUUCCAGUCUCAAUGAAACACCCAAAUCCAGCCUGCCUUUUGGUCAGGAGCAGUGACGCCUGCCAGGCUCAGGAGUGUAACAGCCUUUCAAUGUCAAAAGUCAUUCAAAUUAUAGAAUCAUUGGUGUUGGAAAAGACCCCUGUGAUCAUCAAGUUCAGCCAUCAUUUGCUGUCCCCAGACCUCCUCAGAUUACUGUCAGUGGAUGGUGAGCCUUCAGAUGAGGCAUACAGAGGGGUCAGCCACACCACUGAGGUAAGAGAAAGAGUUGAAGAAUCGUUGCUAAUAAGAAUUUUCUGUUGGAGUAAACACAUAAAAUAAAUCCACAGAGAUUAAAAGAAUAUUGCAAAACAGCAUCUGUACUACAGUAUGUUUUUAAUGAAAAUUAGAAUUGAGGAAAUAGUUUUUCUUUCAGAAAAGUCAAUAUUUCCUAAGACAGCAGCAGGAGUCAGUACAGCCUAGAUGUCUAGAUUUUGUUUGGGAUUGAGCUUAAUCUUCUAACAGAGCUGAAUUUAACAUUUUUACUUAAAAAAAGUGAGGAAAAACAGUGAAAACAAAAAUCCCCAAUGCUUUCAUCUUUCAAAAUGUUUCUUUGGGGCACCACAAUACCUGCUGAAACAGUACAUGUCUACACAUGUAUGUCAUCACGUUUUGAGGGAAUCUUGGGUUUGCAGCUACUUCUGUAUAUGGCACUGGCUCCUCCUUUGCCAGUCUUGCUCUACCACCACAAAUCUUUGCUCUCAGAUCAACCCAUGUCUGUUUUCUCAUCCCCCCAACACUGCAACUGUUCUGUGAGCUGAAACGGAAAACAUGCUUGUCCCUAACAGCUGGGGCAAGGAGGAGAUUAGGCAUCUUGGUCUUGGGCACUGAAACCAACUUUGCUUUGGUUAAUGCAAGGUGUUUCUACAUCGAGAUUUUCUUAAUGAAUACUUUGAAUAAACUUUGGAUAAAGAAAAAUAAAACAACAACAAAAAAUAUAAACUGAGUUCACUUAAGGUAAUGAGAAUUGUGGAGGGCAAUAUUUUACUCUUCAGGCUAGGAAAAUGUGUGCCUUUUUCCACACCUGAAAUCUCCAAGGACAAGAAGGAGAUCAAAAGCAAACAGUCAAUCUUUGUUUUAAAACAAAUGGAACAGUGUUCCCUAGUAGAACAAUUCCACCUCCCAGUCCCACAGAUCCCCCCCGCCCCCAGUCUCACCCCCAGCCCCAUAGAACACCCAUCCCACCCCGAAGCUUCGUCAGUAUUUCUUAAGGCAGGUAGUGAUGCACACAACAUACCAAUUAGUUCUAAUUGCAAAAGCCCACUGUGUGUUUCAAGAAGUAUGACACCAUCUUUCAUCUGAUUUCCUAAACAGAAUUGCUUGGGAUACUCAUUUAUUUAAUUCAUCUUUUAGUUAUAGUGGAAAAUGACGGUAAUAUGAUCAGAUGUUAAAUAUGAGACAUAUAUGUCCACUUGGAAAUACCACUAGAAGUUUUUAUUAUUACAAAUAAUAUGAGGGAGGGUUAAAUUCAACCUCUGCAAUCAGAGAAAGCUUAAUCUUACAUGAAUAUGUAAAACCAAUAGGUUAUCCACUGCCUGCAGGAGAAGGAUUCUCGGUACAGAUAGAAACAGCCAUAGGUUUUAAUGACUCAUCUCCUUGUAAACAGACUGGCAAAAUAAAGCUACUGUAGUGACCUUGGGAUUUCCACCUAUACACAUUUUAUAAAUAUUUGGUGAUACCUAAAAUGUAUUUUGAACAUGUGUUUAUUAUAAUAUACUAUACCAAAAUUAAAAACAGAAUAAACUCCAAUUACUUCCUAAACAUUUUUCCUGAUAAAUCUGGAACACGUUAAAAAUAUUUUAGGAAUAAUUGAAACAUUUCACACAUACAGUACUGAUGCAACAUUCUUUUUUAUAUCUAAACCAUCUGUGCGCUACCCCGUGCUUGUCAGAUGGGCACUGUGAAAGGAGCCCACUGAUUUGCUGGGAAUUGCUCUGGCUGAGAAAGCAUUUGACCGAUAUAACCACAGAGGUCACGAUUUAUUAGCCAAGGCAGCGUGUCACAGCACAUAGGCAGGUAUCCAACACUAAACUCACCUCAGAAAGCUGCAACCCCUACUGAUUUCCUCUGGAACAUAAUCCAGAAAACAUGACUUAAGGGAGGGUCCAGCAGAGGAGCUGCAUGAUCUGCUGUUUCAUGGAAAAACUUUUGGAAGCUAUUUUCUGGGGUAAUCCAUCAUGAAAUAAUCAUGGAAUAAAUGUGUCCUAUGUGAAGGUCCUGAUCCUUUAACUAUUUCUCCCUUGGCUCCUCUAUCCACUUCAGCAGCCACUGCAAAAGUGGCCCUAUUUCUUCCUUACACAGACAGAAUACUGCAUCCCCAAUCCCAGCCCCCAUCUCUGUACUUCCAGUGACCACUGUAACUGUUUUAAUAAUGAGAUUAUAGUAGGAGUUCAUGCACAGUUGAUUACAUGUGACAAUCCCCAUAGACCUUUUCAAGCUUUCUGUGAUACAGUACCCAAUCCUGUAAAAACAGUUCAUGCUCUCUUGUUUCUAAGGACGAACUGUUUUGGUUGCAUUUGGUUGAACCGAGGUUAUGAAGUGAGUCUGAUCACUUUCAAACAAAAGCACUGUCAUCUUUAUUUUUUCACAUUUCGUACUAUCUUAAAAGUGCAUUUGCAGUUGUUCAUGUGUUAUUUGUGAUUUAAAAACAGAUUGUGUUGGGUGGAAAGGAGAAAUGAGUGAUUCCCUUCUGGAAAGACUUCCCCACUGAUAAUUGCCCAUAAGAUAUCUUUGUUGAAAUCAAGUAGCAUCUUCUAAAAAUGGUAUAUUAAAAAAUUUUACAGUCAGAUGACUAAUUCAUCACAGUUCUGAUCUUGAAGUGUUUUUUCAACUAGAGGUACUAGGAUGACUUGACAAGCUCAAAUUCCACUAAAGUUAAAUUAAUUGGAACAGAUUUUACUUUUGUCUUCAGUAUCAGCCAUUUCCUACAUGCUGAUCCCAAGACCAGUAGUAAGCUAGGCCAACCAGCUUACUAUUAAUUGGGUCAUACCUCUGACCUCUGGGUACAAGCUCAGCAUUCAUUACCUGCCUAGAGAAAGUACAACUUCCUGAGUUGCUGCCUUAAGAAGACUCGGUGCCAUUUUAUAGAGCCUUGCUGACACAGAUCUGAGUUGACUUGCAUUCACCCAUUUUACUGUAAGACCAGAAAACAUUUCAUCAGCUUCAUAAUGUAUUCAUACUUCCUUCCAGCUUUGAUCCACCAGAACAGAAAUACUUAUUGAAUGCAUCUGUCUCAUAACGUCUCAUUACUAGCACUUUAAACCAUCAACAUCAAGUAAUAGACUUACAGAAGUUCCUUUUGUUCCUCAUGUAUAUUUGUAGAAGACAUUUCUCUUAUUACAUGGAUUUCAUCCUGUUUUUCCCUAUGCAAAACCUAUGCAAAACUGGGGUGGGGUCGGGGGGAGGGAAGCAGCUGGUUGGUAUGGUCUGAGUUGACUACAAGCUCAGUUUGGGCUAAGAAGACUUUGAGGAGGCAGAACUGAUAUGGACCACAUUUGGACAAAAACACUCAAACACUUGGGAGUUCCUUCCAUGGGAAAUCUGCUAGAGGAGAUCUGGAAAAGAACCAUAUUUCAGUGUUAGGAGACAAAGUCAACUGCAAGGCUCUUGUAACAAACCUUAAAGAAGAAAAAAAUUUAUCUCCACGUAAGCUGACCAAACAUUUUCAUGCCUGACCACACUAUCUGGUAUUGGACAGACCAGUCAGAGGUAAAGCAUUACUGGACUCAUUGUUCAUUAAUGUAGAAGCGCUCAUUAAGGAGGUAAAGACUGAAGGCAGCCUGGGCUGUAGAGACCAUGCCCUGGCUGAGUUUGUGAUUUUGAGGAAUACGGGCCUGGCAAAGAGCAGAGUCAGAAUCCUGAAAUUCAGGAGAGUGAAAUUCUGGCUGUUAAAGGAAUUAUUGGAUGAGAUCCCCUGGGAAAGCCCAACACUGGCAGAACUUUCUCUUAGCAGUACAAACUGGCAAGUGUGUACAUGCCUAUUGUUGGUGGUUGACUGUUGAGAAAUGCAUGAGAAUGUCGUUGUCUUAGAAAUUAAAUCAGAAGAGACCAUCACUUCAUCUCAUCAGAUCUUUUGUGCUUGAGACAGGUUCUCACCCAAACAAGCCAUCUCAUCUCCAGCCAGGAGAGAUAAUCCUCUCGCUGCUGGCUCAUGCUGAGCUCUUGGUUCUCAUCAGGCUGUGUUGAACACCUCAGGAACAAUUAGGACACCCAGGGAUUUGUUGGCCAUCAUUAGGCCGUGGUGCUCAAGUCACAGCUAGGGCAGAAGCAGAAGGACCAGGAAAGGGCUCUGAGGCUCACAGUGAUGGAAAGUGCCUGGGUACAUAACAGCAUUUGCCCCAGACUGGAGAUUUCCUAGCCAAACGUGCUGCAACACUGGACACAUUCUGACCCAGUGAAGAACCAUGUUCACAGGUCAGGAUCUACAUAGAGGAUUGAUCUGGAAGAGAUAAAAUAAACUGAAAUCCACCCAUCUGGUGCUCACUGCAGGACCUGUGCCAGCAUGGAGCUCCACUGGGACCCAGGCCUUACAUGUUAUAUUUUCUGCAGAUAUUCUUACAAUUAAAAACAGGACUACAAAGGAAUCUGGGAGGGAGUUCUUGGCAGCAUGUUGAAAGCCCCUGAAUAAUUUUUUAAAAGAAGAUUAAUGUAACUGUUGCUGUUACCUCUAGGGAAAAGAGCAGCUCCAUUUUGCAGCAGUCUGUAAUUUGUAAAUUGAGUAUAAUAUUGCCACAUAAAUAAUGCUGCAGAGAUUAAAUCUGGGAAAAGGUGUGAAAUGAGAGAGCUUCAGCAUCUAAGAAGAAAAUGCAGCAAAUAUUUUUAACAGUCACUGUGGAACAGAAUGUAUUAACAAAUAUUUCUAUUGUUCAAGUCAGCUCUCGUCUGCUAAAUGAGAAUAACAUGCACUUUACAUCAUAGAGAAAGUGCCAGAUAUUGCAUUUUUUUUCUAUUUCCUUGGAGUUAACCUCUUUAGUCUCCAUGUUGCAGUCUUGUGUUGUUGUUCCAAGAUUUUUUUUUCUUGAAUGUAUUCUCUAUAAACUGUGUAAACCCCAAAUUAAUAUAAAAAAAUUAUAUUUUUCCUAGAUGAGAGAGAAUUUACAAUGCUACCAGAAUGCACCAUGUACAUAAAAAUAUUUAUACCUAUUUAUAAAAGUUAGCUAAAUGUUUCUUUUUGUCAUUUUGUCUCUUGACACUCUGUGUCACCCGGCAGCCUUGUCACAGACCUGUUCCCAGAGCGUGAGGGUUUACUGGUCUUUAGGACCUGCUCUUGUAAUACAUUAUUCACUGAAACCAGCUAUAUCCACUAGAACUUACAACUAGUAGAAGAAAAAUAGAAUCCCCGUGUGCUGUUAAAGUGGUUAAGACAGUCAUUUUCUGAGUUAUUAGCUCAAAUUUUGUCAAAGGAAACUUGUUACAGUCAACCAUGCCUUAGUAUCGGCCUAUGAUCUAUAGGUCUCUCUUUCUCCUUGCUGUGUAUUUGUCACCUAUGUUCUCAUACCCCUAAGAAAACUUCUCCCUUGGCAUGAUAGAGUAGCAGCUUGAGCUUUGUUUAGGGUACAGUACAGUAUGAUACUAUGCUCCAGUCCAACACUUUGAAUGCCCAUUAUAUAGAGAAAGUACACCCGUACAAGUUGUGGAGUGACCAGAGAUUGUUUUUCAGCCUUGAGAUGGACAUUGUUUUGACUACCAUAGUAUCCUAUCACUGGGAUUUGAGUGUGUAGAGGGAGAUGAGUUGAAUGUUAUAACCGUCAUGCUGUUGAGCCAAAUGGACCAUCUGCAUUCAAUAACAUCACAAAAAGUCCAAAUUUUUUACAGCUCUUUGCCUUGUUUUGGGUAGUUGCAAUAUUCCACUUGCAUUUUUUCUCCUGUCAGGAUAUUUGUCAAUACACAGCACUUAUGCUUUUCUAAUUAUAAAUGCAUGUAAGUCUCUAUUGACAGUUCUGGAGUUUCCUGAAACCUGUGAGGAAUUUGAAAAUUUCCAACUUGGAACAGAAUGUUUCUAAAGUUCCAGUAGAUGACUAUACUUUUUUUUUAGGACUGAAAGACAAACCCUUUCCAAGCCACCCAAGCAGCUGCCAGUCAAUUCCCAUGGAGCCUACAGUGUUUAUUGCAGUAUGCGUAUUAUGAUGGAAGAUCAAAAAGGAGAGAGAGAUUUAGUAAACAUACAUACCAUUAACACCUCAGAGGAUGUCCAAUCUUCUGUCUAAUCUGCUGCAACAUAAAUUUCAUGAUGAAGGAACCUGGAAAGUGUUAAAACAGUUAGUUAUAUAUAACACUUCAAACAGUGGUACUGAAAACAAUCAAACCGCCACCAGCCCUUUGAAUCUGGUGCACUCUAGAAGCUGCUUUCUUGCAAAAUUUCUGCUACUCCUUGCGAACAUCUUGAAUUUUGACAUUUUUUUUUUGAAGAUGAAAACAAACCGCACACGGUACUUGGGCAACAAGCCAUUGCUUUCUGGAUUUUUUAAAUGCUUCAAGUCCCAUAACUUACAAACAUGAGAACAGCUGUAGUGGUGAAAUGAAGGCCCUGUCCAGCCCAGUAUACUACCUCUAAUAGUGUGAGAAGACCAGAGGGGAAGAGCAAAUGAGCAAAGCAAACACAUGUGAUACUUCUUGUUGUUGCCUGCCAGCCGCCCACCACCUGCGCUGCAAAUAUUUCUCAAGAAUGAUGCACAGAUGUAGCUUUUAUGAACUUGGUAUCCCUUGAUAUCCUCCAAAACACAAACUAGUUGUUGUUGUCGUUGUUGUUGUUAUUCUUGUUGUUUUGUGGAGUCUAACCAUUUUGAUCAAUCCAGAAGGUAGUAAUGAGACAAAACAUUACACAGGAUGGGAAGAGAAUACAGGCCACGCAGUUAUGAAUGGCUAUGGAAGAAUUUUCCAGCUUCUUGUUAAAGAUGGAUUGACUUUAAAGUCUGCGACAGCAAUAUACAGAUUACAUUUACUUCAUACUCUCUCCUGUGAUAAUUUUUGUACGCUUCUCCCAUUACUUGCAGUACCAUGUGUUAGUACUGUACAUUUUUAACUCAAAUUAACCAACAAGGAUCAACCAAACAGCUUUUUUUUUUUUUUUUUUUUUUUUUUGGUGAGUUUUAGAAUGGAGAAAACAGCUUAAUGCAUGUGUCUUGUCUUGUUAGUUGAUUGUUGCUAUGUUCUGGGUACCUAAUCAACAAAUACCUACCUCAGGUACUCACUGCACGCCUUCUACAGGAGUUGUCCAAGACAUCCAAUAAAUUCAUUCACCUGUCUUUUCUGUGCCCUUCAGAAAGAAGGCUUGGGAUAUGCUGUGCUUCUAAGGAGAUUUUCACAGGGAUGGGAAAAGCAAACCUGCUCUGCCCACUGUGAUAACUCCUCAGUUUUGAAGCUAGUACGGAUGGGAGCAGAGGGUUACCUCUGUGUUGAACGCCUGGCGCCUGGUUUCCAAGGUUUGGUAGGAAGAGGUAUUAGAAGGUAGCAGUUCUUCUUCAGCGUAGAAUUGCCUGUUGUGACUGGUUCUUAGCUAGUCCUUCUGUCGUAAUUAUCCCUGAGGAUCUAGAUGGGUUCUGUCAUCUAGCCACGUUGACUGAAUCAUAUCAUGUCCCUGAGAAGUGAAUAUUCAUUAAAGACCUUGUUCUUUCUUUCUCAGAGCAGAAUCACUCCUCCUCCCCCUGCUCCCUGCCAUGAAAAAGGAAAAAGAAAAAAAAAAGUAAAGAGAAGAGAAGAAAGACAAAAAUUCUAAGUUCAUCUAAACCUAUCAACAUGUGCAGAACGCAUGUCUGUGCCUAUUAAUCACUGCUGGGGAAACACAAAGCCACAGUGCCAUUACGGAAAAGACAACAGAUCAUUCCAAAGCCAUAUGGCCACCACCAUUGAUCCUGACAUCCAGGAAUCAGUGAAUGAUCUUGACUGGUAAGAAUGUAGAACCAGAGCCAAUAUUAUAACUUCACUGCUUCUACAGACUGUGGGGAAACACGUUUUGAGAGUAAUGCAAAGCUGCAACAAAGAGCACAUGGAUAUGCUAUCAGUAUUUGCUAUCAAAGGAUCUCAUCAUAUGGCAUAAUGUGCUUUAAGAGUGAUUACAGUAACUUAAAAAAAAUUGUAUUAGCUCAUUUGUUCCUUAAUAAAUCUGUUUUUUAAGUGAACCCUGAAUGAGUUGGAACAUUAAGUUAUAUGGACAGUCUUCCAAAUCCUUGUACGAGUACACGAUCCCAUUUAUUUAGGUAGGAAUAUUCACACAUAUAUAUGUAUACUAGCACUUAUUAAAUAAAAUAAUUAUCACAUUUUCAAGACUGCUUAUAGUAAAGGCCUUGAAUAUCACAACUGGGUGCAUGACUCAAUAUCUACACUUGGGGCCCUUUAUUGCUGCAGAAACCAGAUUGGGAAUUUCCAGCUAGCAUAACAGCCUCUAAAUGUCUUCAUUUUCAUAUACUGUCUCAGAAAGUAGGUGGUCUCUGACAUGGUCUUUAAGUGCAGUGGGCCAG
ensembl:lncRNA